rnacentral:hammerhead_ribozyme from 1 species
ACCUAACAGAUGAGUCCUAAAUAGGGUGAAACGAGCGUCCUGGAU